GCGCACCACUCAGUUGGAUAGAGUACCUGGCUACGAACCAGGCGGUCGGGAGUUCGAAUCUCUCCGGGCGCACCA
rnacentral:tRNA from 1 species